rnacentral:lncRNA from 1 species
UUGGCCCAAAAGGCUAAAAUAUCAUCAUCAGCUCAAUCUGCCACUUGAUUUACACAUUACAUGCAAUCAAUCUCUCAGUAUUCCAACCGGCAUGCGUAGCCAUUGAGCUUGAAAUUAACCAAAAUAUAAUAUUAACAAUACCCAAAAUCAAGCUGUUAAUAUAUGAAUAAUUGUCAUGUGAUUUCUGAACCAGAUACAAAACUAAUAAUGCAAAUUGAUAUAUCAUAUAUGUCGCAUUGUUUUGUUAACAAAUCAACGGCGUGCAAAUCUGCAGCGCAGCUACAUUUGCCAGCUAAUUAAGUGAAGUUAAUCUUUGGCAGGCGCAGCAUUGAAGCUCCCCCACUAAUAAUAUGCUUUGUCUCCCUAUGAUCAGCAUCACUUAUUAUGGCAUCAUUACUCAUUUUUUUAACUCUACUCGUUCCAGGACUUUCUCUGAAGAUCCAAACGUUCGGGUACCAACCAAACAGGACAUUAGCUGUCGUGCUGCAACUCCACGGAAGAUUCAGCUUCAUUUUUUAUCUGCACCUGUUAUCGUUCAACACGUGCGGAAUUAAGAUGCUUAACUAUAAAUAUUCCAUCAAACUUAGUCUAACAAAACAAGAAUUGGAAGGAUCAAGGAACCUACGCGGUCGCCUGUCGGUUGAAACUUAUCCGUGUUGUUAUCGCGGGUUAAUCAUUAAUCACGCCAAAGAUUAAUUAGCGUGCGCGGACCAUUUUUCAUGUUCGUUUGAACAAAUAAUAAUAAGAAAAGAUUGCGGCUGAAAAAUAUGUAUACGCGCAUCUUUUUAAUUGUCAAAGUCAGACGGGCCUUCUCAUGCAGAUAGCCUCGAGCACAUAAAUGUGAAGC